GGAGAUUCUUUUGGAAGGCGGCAGGAAAUAAAAAGUCGUCCCUGAGCGCUGACCUCGGGCCCCCUCGCAGCACUCAGGCCCACCCGGUUCCCUCCAGUGGGGGGGGGGGGGGGCGAUCUGGAUUACAAAAUGGAGUCUGUGAACAAAAGGCACUUUUAAGGGACAACCUUUAACUGCUGGGAAACUAUACACUACAGCACGAGCACUAUAAGAGUAAUUUACAGAGGAGGGGGGCUGAACAGGGGAGAGGAAUAAUGCGGUUCCCUAAAUGGUCUGUUACUUUUGUUCAUUACCAUUCAUGUACAAUAGGUUUGAAUGUACUUUAUAGUGUUAAAGCACCAAAUUUCAUCUGAUAGAGAAUAUUUUUCCCCAAAGUUGUGUAGAAUUUCUUUUUUUUCUAAAGCCCUCCCACAUUUUUUAUAAACAAUUGAUUACACAUAAAACAUAAAAAAGAGACAAAGGAAAUAAAAACAAAUACCCCCAACCUACAAAGACUAGGAUUUUUCGUCGCCCCUUGGUUUAGAGUCCCGGUGCUUACGGACUUGAAACAAAUACAUUUUUUUUCUCUUUUCUCUUAGCUUUCUUAAAAAUCUCUAACAGACAAACACAAUGAUCUACCCAAUGCAUUGCACGUGGCUCAAUCGACACAUAUUUUUCAAUAAUAAUACUUUCCAUCAAAAAACAAACACUUUUUUUUUCUUCAAACCUAUUGUCAAUUCUUUUUGACACGUUCAUUUAGUCGUUACGAUGCUGCGCUGCGGAUGGCCAUGGCGUGUGCCGUUUCAUUCGUACUGGUAACAGUGAGCAGAUAUCACUGAAACAGUUGCGUGUGUGUGUGUGUGUGUGUGUGUGUGCGCGCGCGAAGGGGGUGCGGUGGAAGUUGGUCAGAAAAUAACUAGACUGCCAAUCAGCUCAUGUAGUAAGAGUUAAAAAGGAGUAUAUAUUGUAAAUAUAUAUGUAUAAGAUCUCUCUCUCUCUCUGUCUUUACAAAAAAACAAAAGGAAAAAGGUUUGCAGUCCUCUAUAAAGAUCUGUCCUCGGC
ensembl:lncRNA